GCGAAUACCGGAGAAUGUUAUCACGGGAGACACACGGCGGGUGCUAACGUCCGUCGUGAAGAGGGAAACAACCCAGACCGCCAGCUAAGGUCCCAAAGUCAUGGUUAAGUGGGAAACGAUGUGGGAAGGCCCAGACAGCCAGGAUGUUGGCUUAGAAGCAGCCAUCAUUUAAAGAAAGCGUAAUAGCUCACUGGUCGAGUCGGCCUGCGCGGAAGAUGUAACGGGGCUAAACCAUGCACCGAAGCUGCGGCAGCGACACUCAGGUGUUGUUGGGUAGGGGAGCGUUCUGUAAGCCUGUGAAGGUGUGUCGUGAGGC
rnacentral:rRNA from 1 species